CGCAUUGAAGCCGCAGGUUUUCGCGCCUAUAUCGGCCGUGCCGGGGUUCGCCCCGGCUAUGGCGAUAAAUGGUGCGACGUUUCGAAGCAGCGGACCCGGGGGCGGUACCCGGCGGCUCCACCAAAACUCCUGUCUUCGGGCAGGGGCUCUGAUGGGGCCGAACUAGGAUCGACGUGUUUGCGGGAUGCGUAUUUUUGCCCGGGCUGAGUAACCCGUUAAAGGCUCGAAACCACAAGUGCCAACGACAACGAGGCGCUCGCGAUUGCCGCGUAAUCAAGGCCUAACGGCUUAGAUUACAAGGCUUGAACGCGGUUCGGGCCACACCGGGCAACAGAAGUGGAUUCCG
rnacentral:tmRNA from 1 species